ACCUCGGUGGUGUAGUGGUAUACCACGCGUCCCCGGUGUGGAUGAAACCCGGGUUCGAUUCCCUACUGAGGCC